rnacentral:rRNA from 1 species
GAUGAACGCUGGCGGCGUGCAUCAUACAUGCAAGUAGAGCGAACAAACAAAGAGAAUGCUAAUAAGAAGAUAAAAAAAAAAAAGAAAAAAAAAAGAGGAAAAAAUAAAUAUCACACUAGGAUAACUUCGGGAAACCGGAGCUAAUACCGGAUAAUAUAUUGAACCGCAUGGUUCAAUAGUGAAAGACGGUUUUGCUGUCACUUAUAGAUGGAUCCGCGCCGCAUUAGCUAGUUGGUAAGGUAACGGCUUACCAAGGCUACGAUGCGUAGCCGACCUGAGAGGGUGAUCGGCCACACUGGAACUGAGACACGGUCCAGACUCCUACGGGAGGCAGCAGUAGGGAAUCUUCCGCAAUGGGCGAAAGCCUGACGGAGCAACGCCGCGUGAGUGAUGAAGGUCUUCGGAUCGUAAAACUCCGUUAUUAGGGAAGAACAAAUGUGUAAGUAACUAUGCACGUCUUGACGGUACCUAAUCAGAAAGCCACGGCUAACUACGUG